CCUACGGGGGGCAGCAGUGGGGAAUAUUGGACAAUGGGGGAAACCCUGAUCCAGCGACGCCGCGUGAGUGAAGAAGUAUUUCGGUACGUAAAGCUCUAUCAGCAGGAAAGAAAAUGACGGUACCUGACUAAGAAGCACCGGCUAUCUACGUGCCAGCAGCCGCGGUACUACGUAGGGGGCAAGCGUUAUCCGGAUUUACUGGGUGUAAAGGGGGCGUAGGCGGCCGCGCAAGUCUGGAGUGAAAUGCCGGGGCCCAACCCCGGAACUGCUCUGGAAACUGUGACGCUGGAGUGCAGGAGAGGUAAGCGGAAUUCCUGGUGUAGCGGUGAAAUGCGUAGAUAUCAGGAGGAACACCGGCGGCGAAGGCGGCUUACUGGACUGUAACUGACGUUGAGGCUCGAAGGCGUGGGGAGCAAACAGGAUUAGAUACCCUAGUAGUC
rnacentral:rRNA from 1 species